GAGAAAAUGAGGGCAUUACUAUUACCUCUCUUUUCUCUCUCUACUGUUAUCAGGUCGACCUUGGUCGGGUGGGGUAUAAAGAGACUAACAGCACACCCUUUCUCUCUCUCUCUUCAAAACUGAUAGUGAUAUCAGAAAAAAGCUGAAGUUGAGCUCAGCUUAGAUUCUAUCAACUUAAUGAAUUGAAGAAAUUACAAUUUAAUGGAAGUAUUGGAGAAAGAGUAGCUAGCUGAAAGGACUUUUUGGUUAAUGCAUGUGGGGAGAUCAUAUUCAUAAUGGGGAAAAGGUGGGGUAUCUUGAAGAUAGGGUUUCAGUUGAUUUUUGGAGUUGGAAUUGAGGGUUUUGUGCAAUUCAGUGGAUUUUUACAGAAAAGGGUGUAGAGUGUAGUACUAUAAUUUUAUCAAGAGGAAGUGGGUUUUUAAAUAAAUAAAUUUUAUAUAAUUAUGAAGCUUUCAACAUCAGGAAUGGGUCAGCAGGCUCAUGAAGGAGGAGAGAAAAAGUGUUUGAACUCAGAGCUAUGGCAUGCUUGUGCUGGUCCUCUGGUGUGCCUACCAACUGUCGGAAGUCGAGUUGUUUACUUUCCUCAGGGUCAUAGUGAACAGGUAGCUGCAACAACUAAUAAAGAAGUUGAUGCACAUAUACCCAAUUACCCAAAUUUGUCGCCGCAGUUGAUCUGUCAACUCCACAAUGUCACAAUGCAUGCAGAUGUUGAAACAGACGAAGUAUACGCACAAAUGACUUUGCAGCCCUUGACACCGGAAGAACAAAAAGAUACAUAUCUUCCUGUUGAGUUUGGAAUCCCUAGCAAGCAGCCUACUAACUAUUUUUGUAAGACGCUGACUGCAAGUGAUACUAGCACGCAUGGUGGCUUUUCUGUCCCUCGACGUGCCGCAGAGAAAGUUUUUCCUCCUCUGGAUUUCUCGCAGACACCACCUGCCCAAGAACUAAUUGCAAGGGAUCUGCAUGAUGUUGAAUGGAAGUUCAGGCAUAUUUUCCGAGGACAGCCUAAGCGGCAUCUUCUUACCACUGGCUGGAGUGUGUUUGUUAGCGCCAAAAGGCUUGUUGCUGGGGAUUCUGUUCUUUUCAUUUGGAAUGAGAAAAAUCAGCUCCUUCUAGGAAUUCGGCGUGCAGUUCGACCACAGACUGUGAUGCCAUCAUCAGUUCUAUCUAGUGAUAGCAUGCACAUUGGAUUACUUGCUGCUGCUGCUCAUGCUGCUGCUACUAAUAGCUGUUUCAAUGUCUUUUUUAACCCAAGGGCUAGCCCAUCCGAAUUUGUUAUACCUCUUUCAAAAUACAUCAAAGCUGUAUAUCACACUCGCGUUUCUGUUGGAAUGCGCUUUCGGAUGCUAUUUGAAACUGAAGAAUCAAGUGUUCGAAGAUACAUGGGCACAAUUACUGGGAUUGGUGACUUAGAUCCAGUUCGCUGGGCAAACUCUCACUGGCGGUCUGUCAAGGUUGGUUGGGAUGAGUCAACUGCAGGAGAGAGGCAACCAAGGGUCUCAUUAUGGGAGAUUGAGCCUUUGACUACUUUUCCGAUGUAUCCAUCUCUUUUUCCUCUAAGGCUAAAGAGGCCUUUCUAUCCAGGAACCUCAUCUUAUCAGGAUAGUAACAAUGAAGCUAUUAAUCGAAUGGCAUGGUUAAGAGGGAAUGCUGGUGAGCUAGGACAUCAUUCAAUGAAUCUUCAGUCUUUUGGCAUGCUUCCUUGGAUGCAACAGAGAGUCGAUUCAACAAUUCUCCCAAAUGAUAUUAAUCAGCACUAUCAAGCUAUGCUGGCUACUGGCUUGCAAAGUUUUGGGAGUGGAGAUUUGCUGAAACAGCAAUUAAUGCAGUUUCAGCAGCCUGUCCAAUAUCUGCAACAUGCAAGUACUGAGAAUUCCAUUUUGCAUCAGCAGCAGCAGCAGCAGCAGCAAAUAAUGCAGCAAGCAGUUCAUCAGCAUAUGCUGCCUGCUCAAACCCAAAUGCUGUCAGAGAACCUUCAAAGGCAAUCCCAGCAUCAAUCCAAUAAUCAGUCAGAGGAACAGGCUCACCAACACACUUACCAAGAAGCAUUCCAACUCCCGCACGACCAGCUCCAGCAGAGGCAACCAUCAAAUGUUACCACUCCAUUUUUGAAAGCAGAUUUUGCAGAUUUGACCUCUAAGUUCUCAGCAUCUGUUGCCCCUUCAGGCGUGCAAAAUAUGCUUGGUUCGUUGUGUUCUGAAGGUAGUAGUAAUUCAUUGAAUAUCAACAGAACUGGUCAGUCUGUGAUCAUAGAGCAGUCGCCUCAACAGUCCUGGAUGUCAAAAUUUACAGAGUCACAACUAAAUACGUGCUCCAACUCAUCACCACUUCCAACUUACGGGAAAGAUACUUCCAAUCCUAGGGGAAAUUGUAGCUUGGAUUCCCAGAAUCAAGCGCUUUUUGGUGCUAAUGUUGAUUCUUCAGGGCAUCUCCUUCCGACCACAGUGUCUAAUGUUACUACUACAUGUGCUGAUAUGUCCUUAAUGCCACUUGGGGCUUCUGGAUAUCAGAAUUCUCUAUAUGGUUAUGUGCAAGACUCUUCUGAGUUGUUGCACAAUGCAGGACAAAUUGAUCCACCAAAUGCAACCCAUACAUUUGUCAAGUUUUUUGUCUAUGCAGGUUUACAAAUCGGGAUGUGUUGGGAGGUCACUGGAUAUCACUCAGUUCCACAGCUAUCAUGAGCUGCGACGGGAAUUGGGGCAGAUGUUCGGUAUUGAGGGAUUCCUUGAAGACCCUCAAAGAUCAGGCUGGCAGCUUGUAUUUGUUGACAGGGAGAAUGAUAUCCUUCUCCUUGGAGACGAUCCAUGGGAGGCGUUUGUCAAUAACGUCUGGUAUAUAAAAAUCCUUUCACCCGAAGAUGUGCAGAAGCUGGGAAAGGAAGAGGCUGAAUCCCUGAAUCGUGGAGCGGUUGAAAGGAUGAGCAGCACUAAUGCUGAUGAUCGAGAUCUUAUUUCUGGAAUGCCAUCUCUUGGAUCGCUGGAGUACUGAUUGUUGUAAUGCUUUAAAAGAAGAGGACUGAUUCUGAUUCUCAAUCUUCUCAAGGGUCAGAAAUUCAAAUUUCAUGCCUCAUAACCUGGCUUCUUUAGCUUUCGUCUAAUUGGUCCAUCUCCCAAUUGUAUGUUGUAUUUUGCGUUUGGAUCUAGCUGUAAUAGGACUUAAGGGGUCUCCCAUUUGUAUGGUGUAGCUUUCAUUGUAAUCCUGUUGUACAAGUUAGUAUAAUUUACUGUACGGCUCAAGAUGAGACGUAAUUUAAACUAAGAAUCUGGAAAGUGUCAAAACUUGUUAUUGCACUUCUACCUUUCAGACAAAGAAGCAGUUGAGGAUCUAUAUCUGGUCUUUCUUGUAGGUAAA